rnacentral:rRNA from 1 species
UGCAAGUCGAGCGGUAACAUUUCUAGCUUGCUAGAAGAUGACGAGCGGCGGACGGGUGAGUAAUACUUGGGGAUCUGCCUGAUGGAGGGGGACAACCACUGGAAACGGUGGCUAAUACCGCAUGACGCCUACGGGCCAAAGUGUGGGACCUUCGGGCCACACGCCAUCAGAUGAACCCAAGCGAGAUUAGCUAGUUGGUGAGGUAACGGCUCACCAAGGCGACGAUCUCUAGCUGGUCUGAGAGGAUGAUCAGCCACACUGGGACUGAGACACGGCCCAGACUCCUACGGGAGGCAGCAGUGGGGAAUAUUGGACAAUGGGCGCAAGCCUGAUCCAGCCAUGCCGCGUGUGUGAAGAAGGCCUUAGGGUUGUAAAGCACUUUCAGUGGUGAGGAAGGCGUUGUAGUUAAUAGCUGCAACGAUUGACGUUAGCCACAGAAGAAGCACCGGCUAACUCCGUGCCAGCAGCCGCGGUAAUACGGGAGGGUGCGAGCGUUAAUCGGAAUUACUGGGCGUAAAGCGCACGUACGCGGCUUGUUAAGCAAGAUGUGAAAGCCCAGGGCUCAACCUUGGAAUUGCAUUUUGAACUGGCAAGCUAGAGUUUUGAAGAGGGUGUAGAAUUUCCAGUGUAGCGGUGAAAUGCGU